rnacentral:rRNA from 1 species
GGACUACCGGGGUUUCUAAUCCUGUUUGCUACCCACGCUUUCGCGCCUCAGCGUCAGAUGAUGCCCAGUAUGCUGCCUUCGCCAUGGGUGUUCCUCCUGAUAUCAACGCAUUUCACCGCUACACCAGGAAUUCCACAUACCUCUGCAUCCCUCCAGUCUGGCAGUAUGAAAAGCAAUUUCCGGGUUGAGCCCUGGAGAUUUCACUUCUCACUUACUAGACCGCCUACGCGCUCUUUACGCCCAGUAAAUCCGGACAACGCUUGGACCCUACGUCUUACCGCGGCUGCUGGCAC